rnacentral:rRNA from 1 species
GAUGAACGCUGGCGGCGUGCCUAAUACAUGCAAGUCGAGCGAACAGACGAGGAGCUUGCUCCUCUGACGUUAGCGGCGGACGGGUGAGUAACACGUGGAUAACCUACCUAUAAGACUGGGAUAACUUCGGGAAACCGGAGCUAAUACCGGAUAAUAUAUUGAACCGCAUGGUUCAAUAGUGAAAGACGGUUUUGCUGUCACUUAUAGAUGGAUCCGCGCCGCAUUAGCUAGUUGGUAAGGUAACAGCUUACCAAGGCAACGAUGCGUAGCCGACCUGAGAGGGUGAUCGGUCACACUGGAACUGAGACACGGUCCAGACUCCUACGGGAGGCAGCAGUAGGGAAUCUUCCGCAAUGGGCGAAAGCCUGACGGAGCAACGCCGCGUGAGUGAUGAAGGUCUUCGGAUCGUAAAACUCUGUUAUUAGGGAAGAACAAAUGUGUAAGUAACUAUGCACGUCUUGACGGUACCUAAUCAGAAAGCCACGGCUAACUACGUG